UACGUAGGGUGCGAGCGUUGUCCGGAAUUACUGGGCGUAAAGAGCUCGUAGGCGGUUUGUCGUCGUCGUCCGUGAAAACUUGGGGCUCAAACCCCAACGGCUUGCGGGCGGAAUACGGGCAGACUUGAGUACUGCAGGGGAGACUGGAAUUCCUGGUGUAGCGGUGAAAUGCGCAGAUAUCAGGAGGAACACCGGUGGCGAAGGCAGGUCUCUGGGCCGAUACUGACGCUGAGGAGCGAAAGCGUGGGGAGCGAACAGG
rnacentral:rRNA from 1 species